GGGGCCGACUUGGCUUCGACGUGGGUCACAAAACAGCGCAGGGCGUGCCGAGCACCAGUCAGCUCGUAAAUCCACUGGAACACUACAAACGCCAACGACGAGCGUUUCGCUUUAGCCGCUUAAUGCGGUAAGCCGUUGCACUGAUUUGUCUUUGGGUCAGGUGGGGUAACACCCACAGCAACGUCAUUCACAAAGAAUCGGGUUACGCCAGGUCACUGGGUGGCGCCUUAAAACAGUGUGAAUCGCCAAGGAAGGGCCUGUCGGCUGGCAUGAUCCAAGGCUAAAGCACAAAAUCAACCGACUACGCAUGUAGAACUGCCUGCAGAGGGCUUGCGGACGGGGGUUCAAUUCCCCCCGGCUCCACCA
rnacentral:tmRNA from 1 species